CCUACGGGGGGCUGCAGUGGGGAAUAUUGGACAAUGGGGGGAACCCUGAUCCAGCCAUGCCGCGUGUGUGAAGAAGGCCCUCGGGUUGUAAAGCACUUUCAGUGAGGAAGAACGCCUGGUGGUUAAUACCCAUCAGGAAAGACAUCACUCACAGAAGAAGCACCGGCUAACUCCGUGCCAGCAGCCGCGGUAAUACGGAGGGUGCGAGCGUUAAUCGGAAUUACUGGGCGUAAAGCGCGCGUAGGUGGCUUGAUAAGCCGGUUGUGAAAGCCCCGGGCUCAACCUGGGAACGGCAUCCGGAACUGUCAAGCUAGAGUGCAGGAGAGGAAGGUAGAAUUCCCGGUGUAGCGGUGAAAUGCGUAGAGAUCGGGAGGAAUACCAGUGGCGAAGGCGGCCUUCCGGACUGACACUGACACUGAGGUGCGAAAGCGUGGGUAGCAAACAGGAUUAGAUACCCGAGUAGUC
rnacentral:rRNA from 1 species